GAAAUGCGAUAAGUAAUGUGAAUUGCAGAAUUCCGUGAAUCAUCGAAUCUUUGAACGCACAUUGCGCCCUCUGACAUUCCGGGGGCAUGCCUGUCCGAGCGUCAUUACGCACCCUCAAGCCCGGCUUGUGUGAUGGGCCCCGGCGUCUCGUUCGCGAGACGGGCCCGAAAGGCAGCGGCGGCGUCGACCCGAUGAGCCCGAGCGUAUGGGGACUUCUGUCACACGUUCGCGGUGCGGACCGGCGCCUGCUUGACUUUUCUGAUUAUCCAGGUUGACCUCGGAUCAGGUAGGGAUACCCGCUGAACUUAAGC
rnacentral:misc_RNA from 1 species